rnacentral:lncRNA from 1 species
CCACCAAAUCGGCAUGAGUCAGCAGGACUGACCAGGACCAGCAGGGAAGCCAGGAGAAGUUCUUUGCUGUGACUCGCUCAACAAAGCACAGCUCUGGGAAGGUGAAGACUGGAGACCAAGGAAGCACUGCAAAGCCAGCUGUGCAAGCCGCCCCCACUGUCCACUGUGUCCUCUUCAUUCUCCCUCCAAACAGCACGUGUCCUCCAACAAGUCUUGCCUCAGUGAAAUUCCACUUGAGUCUGUAUCAGUGCACAUAUCCCGAAACUUCCACUCUGCCCAACAGCCCACUGCAGGGGCAACGGGAAGCCACCAGCACAUCAUUGGUGCAUUUCUCUCUAUGAAAUCAGGAGAAACGGUGACCAAUAAACAAUGGUAAGACUCAGCCAUAGCAUGCAGCCUCGUCUGUUGUCUCUUGGGUUUUAAUUACAUUCCUUCCAAACA